CAAGGGAUAAUCUCUGUAUGCGCACAGGCAGACUCCAGGCACCAUUACCACUUCAAAUCACUUAAGUGGGCAAGAUGCUUGGAGUAACAAUUUCAAUAGUGUGCCAUCAAUGACUAUUGAAACGAAAUAAAAUAUCACCACAUUUAAAAAUCAAUUACUUUCCAGGACACCCAAAAUGCUUGGAUUCUAGUGGUGGUUGUUUUUUCGCAAACCAGUUGGUAGUGAAACAUGUUUUAUUGAAGCAGGCUCAUCUGGAAGCAUGUACAACAACAACCCCCAGUUGCAAAAUGUCAGUCAUGCAAAGUUUUAGGAUGGAUGAUAGUAAGCAUCAAAGCAAGAGCAGAAGGCUGCGCAGGUGCAAGUCAACCUAAUCUGCUUUAGGGUAUAGAAGAGUAAAGUAGAUAGGCCACCUAAGAAAGAAACGGUGGGGAGAGAAUAACACUGUCCUACAUAAAAAAAAAAAUU